GAGUUUGAUCGUGGCUCAGGACGAACGCUGGCGGCGCGCCUAACACAUGCAAGUCGAACGAGCGAGAGAGAGCUUGCUUUCUCGAGCGAGUGGCGAACGGGUGAGUAACGCGUGAGGAACCUGCCUCAAAGAGGGGGACAACAGUUGGAAACGACUGCUAAUACCGCAUAAGCCCACGGCUCGGCAUCGAGCAGAGGGAAAAGGAGCAAUCCGCUUUGAGAUGGCCUCGCGUCCGAUUAGCUAGAUGGUGAGGUAACGGCCCACCAUGGCGACGAUCGGUAGCCGGACUGAGAGGUUGAUCGGCCACAUUGGGACUGAGACACGGCCCAGACUCCUACGGGAGGCAGCAGUGGGGAAUAUUGCACAAUGGAGGAAACUCUGAUGCAGCGACGCCGCGUGAGGGAAGAAGGUCUUCGGAUUGUAAAACCUCUGUUGUCAGGGACGAUAAUGACGGUACCUGACGAGGAAGCCACGGCUAACUACGUGCCAGCAGCCGCAGU
rnacentral:rRNA from 1 species